CUAUUCUUAAGUUUACUAUUUUAUUAUUCUGAUAAUGAUGGUAACUUCUUUGAUAUAUUGAAAUAUUGUAGCUUUUGUAUUCACCGGGGGAUUAUUUUGUUCAAGCAUCAUCUUUCCGAGGAACUAAAUUUUUUCUGGUUCAUAUGUACCUUAGGGUCAGGAUCAAUAUCCUGUUCUUUGUGAGUAACUAGGGAACAUUUUCUUAAUCUGCAGUUUCUUUAGAAAUUGAUUUACUUGUUCUCUAGUAUUUACAUAAUUGGUUUUAUUUAUAAGAGUUAUUAAUAUGUGACUUCUUGAAUUCUUUCAUGAGAGAUGACUUCGAAAUAUUGGUUAGCUUCUUCUGGCCAUUCUUAUCAAUCUGUUGUAGCUAUAGCUAUAGUUAGAGAGUCCCAGAGUAAGCUGACUUCUGUUAGGUCAACUAUUCAAUUAGUCACCCUUAGAUAGAUCUUCUAUUGAAUCUGAUACAAAUCUGAUGAUCAGUUGAGUUAGGGUCAUGGUAACAAAUAUGUAAUCAUUAUUAGCACAUUUAGCGCUAAGUUGUAGCAUUGCUCAAUUAAAUCUGCCUGAUUGUUCCACCUUGGAUAUGCUUCCCUAUAAAUCUGUUGUCCACUGUCGGAUCAAUUUAGGAUAAACGUCUUGCUACAAUAAAUUUUCCCCUUUCUUGUUAAUGACUCUUAUAUGUAGGUUAGGUUAUCAGGUCUAUUUUUUUUUGCAUGUUGAGAAUUGGCUACGAAAUUUUUACUGAUUGUUCACUUUUGAUAUGCUCUAUUUAAAUCUGUUGUCCAUCGAUAGAACAAUUUGUACUACUCGUGCCAUUCGACAUUUUUGUAGUAGAAUUUAUCUGAAUUAUGAAAUUUAGCAAAGGGUUAUAAUAGACCUUAACUAAGUAUGUUGGUACCAUAUGAGAUAUAUCGGGCAUUAAUUCAUCUCCAUUUACAUGACUCAUAAUUUGCGGUUAGGUAUGAUCGAUCGAGUCAGCUGUAAGUGUGAGUAAGUUAGUCGUCGUAUAGGUUAUAUUGAGUUUGUAUUCGAAUAUUGUUGUUAUGGUGUUCUUGUUGACUAUAAUUUGGGGUUUUAUUUAAAUCUACUAAAUCAACUUGAACACAAUUUGGUCUUUUUGGUAUGUGUCACAGAGGACUGGUACUAUGAGUUUGGACGGUGUCCAACGAUAGGUUAGUUUAUAGUAGUGUAGUAUUCAUAGGUUCUUGAUAUAUUUUAGAUAUUUGUUUUCUUCACGGCUGUGUUGGAACCCACAGCGUGUGAUUUUUCUCUGUGGAUAUUUGUAUGGAGUAUCUAUAUGGGUAUAUAUAUGUGUGUAUAUAUAUGUAUAUAUAUGUAUGUGUGUGUGUAUAUAUAUAUGUGUAUAUAAUAAAAAAAAAAUUGUUCAUAAGAUCAAUUUUUUUUCUUACAAGUAAUGGGGGAAUGUAACGAUGAGUGAUACUCAUCGUCACUUUAUAAUAUGCAUUUCAAAAUAUUUAUUAGGAAAAGCAACUCCCAAUAAGUAUACCACCAAAUAUACUUCAGCGUGUAGUAGGUAUUGCCUAGAUUUUUACUAUUUGGAUGAUGUUUGUAACUUUUGGGGAAAUUCAAGUUUUAUAAGUUGGUUCGCCUGGCGAUGCCGGCAUCCGGCUGGCGUGUUGGUCAUUUCGGCAACCGCAGCGGUCCGGCACUUAGUUUUCGGCUUUUGAUAAGGCAACAGUUCAAUCUCCGCCGGUGGCCAUUGCAUAAGAAAUAGAAAUUUGGUUGACAUAUUAAUUUAUAAGAAGAGUAAUUUACGUUGGAGGAAGUUUUGUUUUGGUUUUGUAGUGUGGAGUGUUUCAAGAGAAGAGUUUUUAUUUUUCAACUCCGUUUUUGGAAAGCAAUGGCCACUGGUGGAGAAGGAGAAGUAGAAGAUUAAGUCAAGUCACAGCUUUUGUUUUUUUGGAAAUGGAAUAAAAUAAUUUUGGGAAAUUUUGGGCGAUUUUGUUACUUUUAUGGAAUAUGUGUUGAUUUGCCAGUCAUAGAAGCGUACCUCCUUGUGGAUGACAGUACCCCCCAGGUUUGGGGAAGAUUGGAGGAUAACUUGGAUCUCCAACCAUUCAUCUAGCAGGAUUUUGGAGAAGAAACCAGCUCUCACUUGUAGAAGCAACAGGUUUUAUAGUAAAAUUUACGUUUUCAAAUUUUGUUCAAUAAUAUCUUUCAACUUUAAUAGUUUUAAUAACUUUGAAAUAAAUAACCUUAAUAAUAAUAUAAACUCACUUUGCUAAAAUUUAAUAACUGUCUAAUAUUUAAUAUUUUUCAACAAAUUUUACCUUUCACCGCUCACAUCAUUCAUUUAAAAUAAUCUGAAGGUUAUAAAUCAUCGUGUAAAGGUGUUGUAUACAAUAUCUAGGUGUUUAUUCCCUUAUUUCAUAACCUUUAUUUCAGUUAUUAGAUAUUGUACUCAGGUUUAUCGCUUUAGGUCAGAUACGGAAUUGUCAGCCAAUAUUGUGAUCAAUAUCAAUAUAAUAUUUUUGUUUAGGUAAAUAACUUGUAAUUUCAAAUAACUGUCUUGGUAUAAUUAAUUAAAUUUUUGUGUUUUAUUUUUUUCUGUAAAUCUCAGUGUCGACAGGAGCGUAUCCUUCUAGUACGACAGGUACUAGUUAGCUAGUGUAUAAAUUUGUAUAUAUAGGGGUUAUAGGUAUUUUUUUUUUCAUUAAAUUGGUUGGUUGUACAUA
rnacentral:lncRNA from 1 species